UUCAUCUUUAUCCGGCCUAAUUUCAUUAACCCUUUCGAACAACGCAGCAAGAGCUUGGCCCGCUGCUAACUGAACAUCAAUACUAGCUGCAUCUAGUUGCUCAGAAAGAGCCUCAGCCGCCGAAGCUAAAAAUUCACUUUCAGUUGUGACGCAAGUUAAAAGCAAACCUAGAGCUUGGCAUGCACACCCAACCACACCUUCAUCAUCUUCAGAAUUCACAACAGCACCAUCAGACUCUAAAAUGCUGAUUAAAAAGUCUCCAAAUUCAAUUACAUCUGCUUCGGAGUCUAAAAGAGCUGUCAAUAAAGAGAAACAAAGUAUGGAUUCACACUUGAUGCCAGAAGAUUCUGCAUCAUUUGCCAAUGCGUUAAAUCUUCCUUCUGUCUUCGUCCACAGCUCUUCCACUUGAAAAACAGAAGCCAGACAAAAAGUACACAUGAUCCGAAUUGUCAAAAUCAAUUCUUUGUCAGAACGAGGUCCGUUGAAAAUUUUUAAAAGUAAUUCUUCCAAAGAUGCUACAUUUUCGGAAAUCCUUUUAGCGUAAUGUCGUGUGCAUAUUACAUAUAUCUUCUCUAGAUGUUCUUCUCGUUCUUUGGCGCCAAUUUUUUUUACUUCUAUCAAGUCAUCAAUAGUGGACUCCAAUUCUUCAAGCCAAGUUUUUGAACCUUUAAGAAUACCUGAAUCCUCCAUAGAACCAACACUUAACUGAUCCAUGGAGCCACUAAGUAUGCUGAUAGUGUCAAAAGAGUCAUCGUCAGACAUUAACUGCCUUUUACCAUCUUUUUUGCCCAUGAUGCCUAUUAAAGGAGGUGAAUAGGUUAAUUUCAAAUUUUAGGCGGCUGAUAUCACGUAUAUACCUAAACCGCGAGGGUAACGGAUUACCAU